rnacentral:rRNA from 1 species
UACGGAGGGUGCGAGCGUUGUCCGGAAUUAUUGGGCGUAAAGGGCGCGUAGGCGGCCUGACAAGUGGAAGGUGAAAUCCCUCGGCUUAACCGAGGAACUGCCCUCCAAACUGUCUGGCUUGAGACCGGGAGAGGUGAGUGGAAUUCCCAGUGUAGCGGUGAAAUGCGCAGAUAUCAGGAGGAACACCGGUGGCGAAGGCGCCACUCUGGGCCGGUACUGACGCUGAGGAGCGAAAGCGUGGGGAGCAAACAGG